UGAGGGCGGCCCAAGAUGGCGGCGCGGCCGUGGCCGCUGCUGCUGCUGCUGCUGCUGCUGGCGGGGCCGGGCCGGGGCCCGGGCGGCUCCUCCGGGCGGCUCCGCCUGGGGCUGGGGCCCGGCCCGGCCGCCGGGUACUUCCCCGAGGAGCGCUGGAACCCGGAGUCGCCGCUGCGGCCGCCGCGCGUGGCCGUGGCGCUGCUGGCGCGGAACGCGGCCCAUGCGCUGCCGCUGGUGCUGGGAGGGCUCGAGAGGCUGCGGCACCCCAAGGACAGGAUGGCGCUGUGGGUGGCCGCUGACCACAGCGUGGACAACACCUCGGCGCUGCUGGCCGAGUGGCUGGGCCGCGUGCGGAGCCGCUACCACCGCGUGCUCUGGAGGCACCAGGAGGAGCCCACGUCCUUCCCCGACGAGGAGGGGCCCAAGCACUGGAGCCCCUCCCGCUACGAGCACGUGAUGAGGCUGCGCCAGGAGGCGCUGGAGGCCGCCCGGGCCAUGUGGGCCGAUUACCUGCUGUUCCUGGACGCAGACAAUGUCCUGGUGAACCCCGACACGCUGGCCGUGCUGGUGGCCGAGAACAGAACCGUGGUGGCGCCGAUGCUCGACUCGCGCGCGGCCUACUCCAACUUCUGGUGCGGCAUCACCCCCCAGGGCUAUUACCGCCGCACGGCCGCCUACCUGCCCAUCCGGCGCCGGGAGCGCCGCGGCGUCUUCGCGGUGCCCAUGGUGCACUCCACCUUCCUGCUGGACCUGCGCCGCGAGCGCGCGCGCGACCUGGCCUUCCACCCGCCCCCGCCCGGCUACCGCGGCGCCCUGGACGACAUCCUGGUCUUCGCCGCCGCCUGCCGCCACGCCGGGGUGCAGAUGUUCGUGUCCAACCGGGAGCAGUUCGGGUUCCUGCCGGUGCCGCUGCGCUCCCAGAGCUCCCUGCGGGACGAGGCCGAGAACUUCCUGCACGUCCAGCUGGAGAUCAUGGUGAAGCUCCCUCCGGCCGAGCCCUCCCCCCACGUGUGGGUCCCUCCCAAGGUCCUGGACAAGCUGGGAUUUGAUGAGGUGUUCCUGAUCAACCUGCGGCGCCGCUCGGCGCGCCGGGCGCGGAUGCUGCGCUCGCUGCACGAGCUCGGCGUCUCCCCGCAGCUGGUGGAGGCCGUGGACGGCCGGGCCCUGAACAGCAGCCAGGUGGAGGCGCUGGGGGUGCGGAUGCUGCCGGGAUACCGGGACCCCUUCCACGGGAGACCCCUGACCCACGGCGAGGUGGGCUGCUUCCUCAGCCACUUCCGGGUCUGGCAGGAGAUCUCGGCGCGGGGCCUGCAGCGCUCGCUGGUGUUCGAGGACGAUCUGCGCUUCGAGGUUUUCUUCCGCAGCCGCCUGACGGAGCUGAUGGAGCAGCUGGAGGAGGCGGCCGUCGACUGGGACCUCAUCUACCUGGGCCGGAAGCGGCUGGAGCCGGAGCGCUCGGAGCGCGGCGUGCCCGGCGUGCGGCAGCUGCUGCGCCCGGGCUACUCCUACUGGAGCCUGGGCUACGCGCUGUCCCUGCGCGGCGCCCGCAAGCUCCUGGCCGCCGAGCCCCUGGGCAAGAUGAUCCCGGUGGACGAGUUCCUGCCCCUCAUGUUCGACCGACACCCCAGCCCCGAGUAUUCCCGGCACUUUUCCCGGCGGGACCUUCUGGCGUUUUCCGCGGAGCCGCUGCUGCUCUUCCCCACGCACUACACGGGGGAGCCCGGCUACGUCAGCGACACCGAGAGCCCCCCCCGAGCCCCCCGAGGGGCAGCCACCCCCCCGGGAAUCCCGCAAUUCCCAAGCCCGGAGCCCCCCCGGAGCCCCCCGAGCCCUGGCAGGAGAGGAGGAGGAGGAGGAGGAGGAGGAGGAAUUCCACUGGGAAUCCCGGAAUUCCCAACCCCGGCACCACAGCGACGCCCGCAGACGAGCUCUGACCCCCAAAGUAUCCCGGGAAUUUGGGGUGGAAUUCCCAGCCCUGGAACCCCCCCGAAAUUUGGGAUUUUUGGGGGAAAAUUCCCAUGGGAAUUCCAGAAUUCCCUACCCCAGAGCCCCCCAAAAUUUGGGAUUUUGGGGAAAAAUUCCCUCAGGAAUCCUGGAAUUCCCAAACAUUGGAAACCCCCCAAAAUUUGGGAUUUUUGGAGAAAAAUUCCCUCGGGAAUCCCAGAAAUCCCAGCCCCAGAGCCGCCAGAAAUUUGGGAUUUUGGGGAAAAAUUCCCAUGGGAAUCCCGGAAUUCCCAAGCCCGGAGCCCCCCGGAGCCCCCCGAGCCCUGGCAGGAGGAGGAGGAGGAGGAGGAGGAGGAGGAAUUCCCCUGGGAAUCCCGGAAUUCCCAACCCCGGCACGACAGCGACGCCCGCGACGAGCUCUGACCCCCAGAUUAUCCCGGGAAUUUGGGGUGGGGAGGAAUUCCCAGCCCUGGAACCCCCCCAAAAUUUGGGGUUUUUGGGGAAAAAUUCCCAUGGGAAUUCCGGAAUUCCCAACCCCAGAGCCCCCCAAAAAUUCAGGAUAAUGGGGAGGAAGAAUUCCUGUGGGAAUCCUGGAAUUCCCAACUCCAGAGCCCCCAGAAAUUUGGGAUUGGGAAAAAUUCCCGUGGGAAUCCCGGAAUUCCCAACCCCGGCACGACAGCGACGCCCGCGAUGAGCUCUGACCCCCAAAUUAUCCCGGGAAUUUGGGGUGGAAUUCCCAGCCCUGGAACCCCCCCAAAAUUUGGGAUUUUGGGGAAAAAUUCCCAUGGGAAUCCCGGAAUUCCCAAGCCCAGAGCCCCCCGGAGCCCCCCGAGCCCUGGCAGGAGGAGGAGGAGGAGGAGGAGGAGGAAUUCCUGUGGGAAUCCCGGAAUUCCCAACCCCGGCACGACAGCGACGCCCGCGACGAGCUCUGACCCCCAGAUUAUCCCGGGAAUUUGGGGUGGGGAGGAAUUCCCAGCCCUGGAACCCCCCCAAAAUUUGGGAUUUUGGGGAAAAAUUCCCUCAGGAAUCCUGGAAUUCCCAAACAUGGAAACCCCCCAAAAUUUGGGAUUUUUGGAGAAAAAUUCCCUCGGGAAUCCCAGAAAUCCCAACCCCAGAGCCCCCAGAAAUUUGGGAUU